rnacentral:rRNA from 1 species
GUGUCAGCCGCCGCGGUAAUACGGAGGGUGCGAGCGUUGUCCGGAAUCACUGGGCGUAAAGGGCGCGUAGGCGGUCUGUUAAGCGUGUGGUGAAAGCUCGGGGCUCAACCCCGAGUCUGCCAUGCGAACUGGUGGACUUGAGCACUGUAGAGGCAGGUGGAAUUCCGGGUGUAGCGGUGGAAUGCGUAGAGAUCCGGAAGAACACCGGUGGCGAAGGCGGCCUGCUGGGCAGUUGCUGACGCUGAGGCGCGACAGCGUGGGGAGCAAACAGGAUUAGAAACCCCCGUAGUCC